UCUCUCUCUCUCUCUCUCUCUCCUCUCUCUCACAUCAGGCAUCGCCGACGACGACGGUCGAGAUCGAGCAGCCUCCGAUGAGUCGCUCCACCACAUCCUUUGUAAGGUCUAGCAGCUCGUCGUUGUCGGUCGGCAUGGGAUCCGAAUCCGAUCACGAAGACAAGGCCGACACUGACGAGAAAAAGAGCGGCGGCGGAUGACGGAGGCAGGGAGACAACGAUCUCCUCGACUGUAGACUUGGUGAGGAUGGAGAUGUUGCCGUCGGCGGCUUAUUGAUGCAGAGAUUGGAGAAGGUGUGGCCGAAUCUGUGAAGGUUUGGAGUGAAGUGACUGCCAAUCUCCUCGGCGGCGGAUUGCUGCAGAGAUGUCGGAUCUGUGAAGGUUUUGAGUGAAGCGACGUUUACUACCCCCAGUAAAAGUUUACUAGGGGUAGUAAAUUUUAUGUUUUGCAUCUAAGUUGAUUUUUCUCCGUUUUAAUGUGUACUUAUGGCCUUGGAGAUAUUGUUUUGCAAGCUUACUACCCCCAGUAUGAGUUUACUGGGGGUAAUAAACUUUAUUUUUUCGCAUCUAGGUUGUUCUUCCUCUGUUUUAGUGUGUAUUAUGGCAUUGAAAAUAUUUUUUUGCAAGUUUACUACCCCUAAUAAAAGUUUACUGGGGGUAGUAAACUUUAGUUUUUCGAAUCUAAAUUGUUCUUCCUCUGUUUUAGUGUGUAUUAUGGUCUUGAAAAUACUGUUUUGCAAGUUUACUACCCCCAGUAAAAGUUUACUAGGGGUAGUAAAUUUUAUUUUUUUCGCAUCUAAGUUGAUUUUUCUCCGUUUUAAUGUGUACUUAAAGCUUUAGAGAUAUUAUUUUGCAAGAUUACUACCCCCAGUAAGAUGUUUACUAGGGAUGGUAAACUUUAUUUUUUUGCAUAUAUGUUGAUUUUUUCUCUCCUUUAAGGUAUACAAUGGUCAUAGGAAAAUUGUAUUGCAAGUUUACUACCCCCAGCAGAAGUAUACUACGGGUAGUAAACUUUAUUUUUCUACAUCUAAGUUGAUUUUUCACUGUUUUAAGAUGUAUAAUGGUCAUGGAGAAACUUUAUUUUGAGUUUAUUACCCCCGGCCAGUAAAAGUUUACUAGGGGUAGUAAACUUUUUUUUUCGUACUUGGGUUAAGAUCACGUAAAUUCCAAUGGCAUUUAAAAAAAUCCAGUGAGAUUUCCGGAAAAUUCCGGCCACCGGAUGCUGGCAAUUUUCCGGCCGUCGGAAAA
rnacentral:lncRNA from 1 species